rnacentral:rRNA from 1 species
AGUAACGACGUGAGGAACCUGCCUUCCAGAGGGGGACGAACAGUUGGAAACGAACUGCUAAUACCGCAUGAUGUGUUUCGUAUGGCAUCAUCGAGACACCAAAGAUUUAUCGCUGGAAGAUGGCCUCGCGUCUGAUUAGCUAGUAGGCGGGGUAACAGCCCACCAAGGCGACGAUCAGUAGCCGGCCUGAGAGGGUGAACGGCCACAUUGGGACUGAGACACGGCCCAAACUCCUACGGGAGGCAGCAG